AUCCUGGCUCAGGAUGAACGCUAGCGGCAGGCCUAAUACAUGCAAGUCGAACGAUACCAGAGAGCUUGCUUUCUGGGAAAGUGGCGCACGGGUGCGUAACGCGUAUGCAACCUACCUUAAUCAGGGGGAUAGCCUCUCGAAAAGAGAGAUUAACACCGCAUAAAAUCACACUUCGGCAUCGAAGAAUGAUCAAAUAUUUAUAGGAUUAAGAUGGGCAUGCGUGACAUUAGCUAGUUGGUAAGGUAACGGCUUACCAAGGCUACGAUGUCUAGGGGAUCUGAGAGGAUGACCCCCCACACUGGUACUGAGACACGGACCAGACUCCUACGGGAGGCAGCAGUAAGGAAUAUUGGUCAAUGGGGGCAACCCUGAACCAGCCAUGCCGCGUGCAGGAAGACGGCCCUACGGGUUGUAAACUGCUUUUAUACGGGAAUAAAUCUCGCUACGUGUAGUGAGUUGAAUGUACUGUAAGAAUAAGGAUCGGCUAACUCCGUG
rnacentral:rRNA from 1 species